CCGCUGCGUUGGGGCUGUGAUCCAAAGCAUGAGUUAUGCUGUGGUGUCUCCGUAGCCGCGAGGGUGUCGGGAAGAUGCAGGGAGCAGGAUUUGUUCACGGCUCUCUGAAACAAAAGCGAGAGGCUCUUCCUUGUGCCGCAAGCAAGAACUAACAGCAGAUGGUCCCUCCGGUGCCCAGAUCGUCCCAGCCAAAACACAUCUCUCUUCCCCAGGCUGAAGGGAAGGGGACAGGAAUAGCACCGGUGUGUGACUCAGAUCCACUGAACUCCAGCACGGUCAGUGCAUAUCUGCAACCCGACGGUGCUGGCAGAAAAGCACAGAGAGCAGCGUGCGUGGGACAUCGCUCGUCGUAAUUCCGGAUGGGUUUUUCCAAAAAGCUUAAGUGACUUAGGCACGGCAGUCAUAUUGAUGUAGCGCUUGAUUGUCGCCGGGACGUUCUGCUCUUCCCUCCGCCCUCCCCACGAGCACACCCGAGAACGUGCGCCUGCCAGAUCAUUUGAAUUUGUCUGGCUUCUGCUUCCUGCCAUUGGGUCGUGCUAUUUAUUCUCUUCACCACUAGACUAAAGAGCCCUUUCGAGUUCGGUAUUUCCCCCCAGUGAAAGUACUAACGUGCUGUAAUCAAAUCACCUCUCAAUCACCUUUUUUUUUUUUUUUUUGGGUGAGCGGAGCAGCCCAAGCUCCCGCAGUCUCUCCAGCUCUCGGGCCAGUUUUGCAGCUCCCCGCGCUCCAAUUUUUCAGCCUUCUUCUUAACAUUGAAAUGUGGACGCCAGGAUUGAGCACUCCUGGCUGCCCCCAUGCUAUAAAUUACCCUCCUACUCUUCCUCCCUUCGCUCCCUGUCUAGGUAAUCCCUGCCAGCAUUUGCCAUUUCAGCCAUUGCAUCCGACUGAGAGCUUGCGCUCAGUGCCUGGCCCCGCCCUGAUGCCUCGAUGCCAUUCAGAGGCACUGCCUGCCAGGAUAUGGCCCACCUUCCUGGAGCAAUGGCCUGCAGUCCUUGUUCCUACAUUUCUAGCGGUGCAUUUGGUGGCAUGAACACAUGCUGUGUCUGAAAGGGCCGGGCUUACUAGCUGAUCCAGGCAGCUCUGCACGACUGCCCUGGCUUCGUCCUUCUGGACCUGCCAAUCUCCGCGUCAUCUGCAAAUCGGACCAGCCGCGAUGUACUGUUUUCUUCUAGAUCACUGAUAGAAAGGUUGCAUAAGCUCGGGCCUAGUAUCGGUCCAGCAGACACCCCGGGCAAAGAGGCUUCCCCAUAGAUAUAUCUAAGUCUUAAAAUCUGCCAGUUAACCUGUUCUUCACCCAUUUACCAUAUGCUCUCCUGAUCCCAUGGUGUGUCAAGCUGUUUCCUCAGGGUGCCCUGUGCUCAAAUGCUUUGCACAAGUCUAAGUAUGCAACAUCAAGACAGCUACCUUUAUCACCCGAAUCUCUACCCUAAUUUCAGAAUGAAAUCAGGUUGGUUUGACAAGACCUAUUUUCCAUAAAGCAAUGACUCACGUUCUCAGGUGGCAAAGUGCUGAGGAAAGCCCAAAAUUUACCAUUGAAGCUAACCCACUGCUCUUGCUUAGGUGUGGAAAGACUGAUCCUAUACCUGUUGUUUUAGAUAGCUCAUCACUCCGGUACAGGUCUGUCGAUCCCCACGAGAUGAUCUCCCCACUAGAUCGUCCCCACUAGAUGAUCUCUUGAGGUCCCUUCUAGCCUUUUCCCUCUAUGAUGAUGAUGAUGUUAGGCUAUUUGCCCAUGUUUUCUGGAUAUGGCUAUCACCUGGGCCUGCAGGUGUUGGUAGGUGCUGGGAUGCCAGUUGGGUGGGCACAAACAGAGACCAUCACAUGGAAAUGUGGCUUAAUUUAUCCAACCUACUAGGUUGUUAUUUUUUUAUGGGAUGGACUCUGAUUUCGAUGACAGUCCUGCCUGGGGGCAUCUCUGAAUGGGGAGCUCCCUCCCUGGGCUUCAGCGAGCAGGGCCAAGUGGGUGUUGUCUCUCCGUGACAUCUCUUUCUAAGGCAGGUAGGUGGGAAAUAGGGGGUCAUGGCUCCACAGCGAUAAUAUUCCCAUAUGUGAGUUAUGGGGGGGGCGGGGGGUGCCAUAAAUUGAAUUUAAGGCACCCAGAAGAAGACCAGGGGGAAAAGGAACUGGAUGUCAACACCCAGCCUCACCGCCGAGCUAAGUUGAGCUCUCUGUACUCAGGUUAGUUGUCUCAAGGAAGAACAGCCAUAUGGCCCUGCAGUAUCUAUGCCCAUCUUGGUGCUGGACUCAGCGCCAAGAUAUCUGCAAUCACGCUGCGUGGUCCUCAAUACCGCCGCAAGCCAAGCUGCUUUAAGGUUUCUUCUCCGGGGAAAUGUGGGAGAACUUGUCCGUCCUUCUGUGACGCGGGACGGGAUGGUGGGAAGGCACGGGAGGACUCGUGGGGCCCUGGGUACAGCUCAGUUGUGUCCACACUGCCGAGUGCUCGUGUUAGUGCCUGACCAGCUGCGCUCACGACAGUUUUAACCCUGCCAGCUCAAGUGAGAAGCACAGCCACACUCGAGGUAGGGCGUGGAUAAGAUGUGAGCCAGUGCCUGCACUUGAAUUAUAGUUCAGAUGCACUUUGCAGGCAAGCCAAGCCUUCAGUGGGCUAUGUGUAGAGAACAAGGAUGGCAGAGCUGUGUCUCAGGGGUCCCACGAGCCCUGUGCUGGUGCUCUGGAUGUUAUGCUUCAAUUCAUCUCUGCUGCCCGUACCAUUUUCUUUAUGACUGUGAGCAUCCCAGGUCUGAGUUUGGGGGGAAGAAUUGGUAAAUGAAACGACAAAAGCCCUGCCCCGAGGCUUGUCAAACCCCUCUGUGUGUCACUGGUGUGACAUGGCAGUAGGGGCUGGAUUUGGGUCUCAUUUGCCUGCGUGCCCUUCUUGACUUCGACCGAGGUAAGGCCAAGCAGGUGCUGCCUCUGAAUGUCCUGCCAGGUCCAAACUGCAGCUUCCUUUCUCAGCCAUGCCACCUGCCCUUUCUCUCACUUUGGCUGCAGUGAAGUUUGAGGAGGGCACGGAGGAAGGUGCAAGCACACACACACACACACACACAUGCACACUUGUUAAGUCUGCCUGGGCUCAGCACACACGCAGCUUUGAAGCCCGCUGAUGUGUUUGCUGAGAGGCAAGCUCUGUUGUUGUACUGACGUCUGGAUUCCCAACCACCUGCACAUGAGCUUCCUGGCACUUCUGCAGACAUUUGCAUCAGAGAUACAGCUGCCUCGCGCUCAGAGAGCAACUCUUAGUCUUCAGAGGAUCGUAGGCUUAUUCUCUUUGCAAUUUUCCUAAUUGAAAGUGGGUCUAAAGCUAAGGGUUUCUCUACAGGCUGAGCUGCAAUGGUUUGACUUCAGGCUCGGCUACAUGAGAACAUCGCCCCGGGUCAGCUCCAGGUGCCAGAGAAACCCAUUUAGUUAAACAGCUGCAAAAGGCUGCUCCAAGGUCUCCUGUUUCAGUUCAGCUUGAAUCCAUGAAAACCAGAUUUCAACCCGUUCAAAAUGAACCACUUGCAAACCAAACACGACCGUUCUCAGGGGGGUUUGCACCAUUUGAACCCAACUGGUUUGAAAAGAGUGCAAGUCCAUGUGUAGACAAGGCCUAUUUGGGCACAAAGUGAUUUUUUGGGUUUGUUUUUUUUUUGAGGGGAUGGGAUAGAGAGGGGAGCUAAUAUUUGUAAUUAUUAUAAGCUUUGCUAUUUCAAAUCAUCAGCAUGUAUUAUU